GAAAUUUGUCAGUUUGGUACUUUUUUUGCUUUGUGGCAUGACGUGUACUUUUUACGUUGCUGUUGCAUACUUUUAUUGGUUUUACUGUUUGCGGUUAUUGUUAUCUGUUCUUGAUUAAUCGUUUUUGUUCUUGUUUCUAUUUUCAUGAGAGGUUCCCUGUUACUGGCGUUACUGGCGUUACUGAAGUUGGAUAGUUAUCGAUGUUACUGUGGCUGAAUUUGGAGAAACUAUUGUGAUCGAGUGAAGACCGACAGGCGGACCGACCAAUCGGAAGGGUUGAAAUUGAUGGAAUUAUCGAUUGUCUUGGCGAGGAUCCAAUUUGUGGAGUGCGCGAUGGAUAUCCGGAGCAGCAGUUUGGUGGCUGGAACUGAAGCAUUAGUUUUAGUUAAUGACAUG